rnacentral:tRNA from 1 species
AGAGAGAUAGCUCAGUGGUAGAACACAUGCUUAGUAAGCAUGAGGUCCUGGGUUCAAUCCCCAGUACCUCCA